rnacentral:rRNA from 1 species
GGGGUGAGAAGCCCGCUCGCCGGAAGACCAAGGGUUCCUGUCCAACGUUAAUCGGGGCAGGGUGAGUCGACCCCUAAGGCGAGGCCGAAAGGCGUAGUCGAUGGGAAACAGGUUAAUAUUCCUGUACUUGGUGUUACUGCGAAGGGGGGACGGAGAAGGCUAUGUUGGCCGGGCGACGGUUGUCCCGGUUUAAGCGUGUAGGCUGGUUUUCCAGGCAAAUCCGGAAAAUCAAGGCUGAGGCGUGAUGACGAGGCACUACGGUGCUGAAGCAACAAAUGCCCUGCUUCCAGGAAAAGCCUCUAAGCAUCAGGUAACAUCAAAUCGUACCCCAAACCGACACAGGUGGUCAGGUAGAGAAUACCAAGGCGCUUGAGAGAACUCGGGUGAAGGAACUAGGCAAAAUGGUGCCGUAACUUCGGGAGAAGGCACGCUGAUAUGUAGGUGAAGCGACUUGCUCGUGGAGCUGAAAUCAGUCGAAGAUACCAGCUGGCUGCAACUGUUUAUUAAAAACACAGCACUGUGCAAACACGAAAGUGGACGUAUACGGUGUGACGCCUGCCCGGUGCCGGAAGGUUAAUUGAUGGGGUUAGCGCAAGCGAAGCUCUUGAUCGAAGCCCCGGUAAACGGCGGCCGUAACAAUAACGGUCCUAAGGUAGCGAAAUUCCUUGUCGGGUAAGUUCCGACCUGCACGAAUGGCGUAAUGAUGGCCAGGCUGUCUCCACCCGAGACUCAGUGAAAUUGAACUCGCUGUGAAGAUGCAGUGUACCCGCGGCAAGACGGAAAGACCCCGUGAACCUUUACUAUAGCUUGACACUGAACAUUGAGCCUUGAUGUGUAGGAUAGGUGGGAGGCUUUGAAGUGUGGACGCCAGUCUGCAUGGAGCCGACCUUGAAAUACCACCCUUUAAUGUUUGAUGUUCUAACGUUGACCCGUAAUCCGGGUUGCGGACAGUGUCUGGUGGGUAGUUUGACUGGGGCGGUCUCCUCCUAAAGAGUAACGGAGGAGCACGAAGGUUGGCUAAUCCUGGUCGGACAUCAGGAGGUUAGUGCAAUGGCAUAAGCCAGCUUGACUGCGAGCGUGACGGCGCGAGCAGGUGCGAAAGCAGGUCAUAGUGAUCCGGUGGUUCUGAAUGGAAGGGCCAUCGCUCAACGGAUAAAAGGUACUCCGGGGAUAACAGGCUGAUACCGCCCAAGAGUUCAUAUCGACGGCGGUGUUUGGCACCUCGAUGUCGGCUCAUCACAUCCUGGGGCUGAAGUAGGUCCCAAGGGUAUGGCUGUUCGCCAUUUAAAGUGGUACGCGAGCUGGGUUUAGAACGUCGUGAGACAGUUCGGUCCCUAUCUGCCGUGGGCGCUGGAGAACUGAGGGGGGCUGCUCCUAGUACGAGAGGACCGGAGUGGACGCAUCACUGGUGUUCGGGUUGUCAUGCCAAUGGCACUGCCCGGUAGCUAAAUGCGGAAGAGAUAAGUGCUGAAAGCAUCUAAGCACGAAACUUGCCCCGAGAUGAGUUCUCCCUGACUCCUUGAGAGUCCUGAAGGAACGUUGAAGACGACGACGUUGAUAGGCCGGGUGUGUAAGCGCAGCGAUGCGUUGAGCUAACCGGUACUAAUGAACCGUGAGGCUUAACC